rnacentral:rRNA from 1 species
UACAGAGGAGCCAAGCGUUGUCCGGAUUGACUGGGCGUAAAGCGCACGCAGGCGGCAUCGCGCGUGGGGUGUGAAAUCUGGCCGCUUAACGGCCAGGCGCCAUCCCAUACGGCGAGGCUGGAGCGAUGCAGAGGUCGGUGGAAUUGCCGGUGUAGUGGUGAAAUGCGUAGAUAUCUGGAGGAAUACCGGUGGCGAAGGCGGCAUCCUGGACCGACAUUGACGCUGAACGGCGAAAGCUAGGGGAGCAAACAGG